rnacentral:lncRNA from 1 species
CAUCGUGAAAUACAUUGUUCUUCCUCCCAAGUACGGAACGAAUCAUCCGAAUUACGGCUCGCAAUUUGACAGUUUUCCUUUUCGCUUGUUUCUUCCGUUUGAAAACGCAUGGGAAAUAAAAGAUAUUAGCCAACUGGUUUCGUUCAAAUUUCCAUAAGAAUUAGAGAGGCAUCGAUUUAGUCGUAAUUCGCAUGGCGAUUAAGAACGAAUUUCCCGCUUUUGCUGUAAUUCGCUCACUAAAAUUUGUAUGUCGAAUUAUAUAAUAGGACAUGCAUUUGGCGAAUAACAAAUAAGAGAGCGAAACAUUUAAGUUUUCCUAGCUCGUGGCUCGUCGCCGGUAGCGGCUAUUCUGUUUGUGCUCGGGCUGCACUCAAUUUCACUUGCUUAAUUUUUUUUAUAUCGAUAAUGUUAAUGAAUAUCUUUAGUAUGUAAUCAUAACUGCAAUUUUGCGUUAUGGGUUGUGGAUUUAUUUUUAGUUUGUUUUUUUUUUUUAGUUUGCUUUUCAUUCGAUUUUACCGAUGAAAAUUAUCUGUACAGCAAAGAAAGUCUACAGUCAUAUAAAAUAAAAUAUUAGCAACCGUUAAUGAGUUUUUCUCAAAUGCUGUGUUAUAUAUACAUAUAUGGUGCUUCAAAUUUUAUCAAAUAUGAUAUAUAAAAGAAAGUUGUAUAAAAACUAUAACGCGUACAACUUCUGAAGAAAAAACUGAGAAUCGAAGCUUAUAUUAAAUAAAAGUUUUGUGCUCGAUAAACAACAUGACACAUUUACCAAGCUCAUUAAAUGGUUUCGCAGUUUGUCUCUUCGUAUUCUGGUGUGGAACUUGGUGUGUUCAUCUUUUGGCCAUAUGUUACGG